AUCUUAUGUCUGCAAAUCAGGCUAUUAGACUUAGGAGUCCCUCCAAUAGUUCUAUUACCUAGUCAGAAUGUGGGCUUUCAGGACCAAUAUUACAACUGAAAGGGAAACAAUCUUUAAGCCCUGCUCAUACCCAAAUUUGGAGAUUAGGAUUUCUCUUUUUGAACCGGUUAUUUCACUUGGCAUUUGCAGAAGGUUCUGUGCUGCCACCCGAUGCAUCUAUGACCAGGGAAGAAUGAUACCAGGGAAGAAUUACAUUGCAUGGGAUGACCAGCAAGCUCUAAGAAUUAAAGAAGGGGGAGAUGUGGGAGGCACAUGGCCACAUAUUCAAGCUUAUGUACAAGGCAUUUGAGGUUGGGGCAUGGAAAAAUACUGAGGCGCUGUGUGUAUGUUUUAUUUGUGCAUGAGAAUGAAACUCGACCCUGAAAACAGGGCAGGGAGUGGAGUGUGUGGUGUGAUAAGGAACGCUGAAAACAGCCUCCUGAGAAUGCAGUUUGAGUGCUUUUACAAGGCCACAGGUGCCUCACGACCCGACCUCAAAAACGCCAUCUAGUGGAUAUUUGUGGUUUAACAAGCCCUUUCAAUAAAUGACAGACGGAUGCUAAGGUUGACUCUCUUAGGAGAGCUGCCCCCCG
rnacentral:lncRNA from 1 species